rnacentral:hammerhead_ribozyme from 1 species
AUCUACCUAAUGAGUCCCAUAAGACGAAACGCGCGUCGCGGAU